ACUCCCUUCGGGGAGUGCAUAAAGUGGCGCACGGGUGAGUAACACGUAGGUAAUGUACCUUUGGGUGGGGAAUAACUUAGGGAAACUUAAGCUAAUACCGCAUAAUGCAGCGGCUCCUUAUGGAGACAGUUGUUAAAGAUUUAUCGCCUAAAGAGCAGCCUGCGGCAGAUUAGCUAGUUGGUAAGGUAAUGGCUUACCAAGGCUACGAUCUGUAACCGACCUGAGAGGGUGGUCGGUCACACUGACACUGAAUAACGGGUCAGACUCCUACGGGAGGCAGCAGUCGGGAAUUUUGGGCAAUGGGCGAAAGCCUGACCCAGCAACGCCGCGUGAAGGAUGAAGUAUUUCGGUAUGUAAACUUCGUAAGAAUAGGAAGAAUAAAUGACGGUACUAUUUGUAAGGUCCGGCUAACUACGUGCCAGCAGCCGCGGUAAUACGUAGGGACCAAGCGUUG
rnacentral:rRNA from 1 species